rnacentral:rRNA from 1 species
AUUGAACGCUGGCGGGAGGCUUUACACAUGCAAGUCGAACGGCAGCACGGACUUGGUUCUUGCUUCGAUUGGCGAACGGGGGAGUAAUGUAACUGAACGGGCCCAUGACCGGUGGAGAACUACGCCAAAUCGUAACUAAUGCCACAUACGCCCUACGUGGCAAAACAGGGGAGCGUGAGACCUUGGACUAUUGCAACGGCCGAUAUCGGAUUAGCUAGUUGGUGAGGUAACGGCUCACCAAGGCGACGAUCCGUAGCUGGUUUGAGAGGAUGACCAGCCACACUGGGACUGAGACACGGCCCAGACUCCUACGGGAGGCAGCAGUGGGGAAUUUUGGACAAUGGGGGCAACCCUGAUCCAGCCAUCCCGCGUGUGUGAUGAAGGCCUUCGGGUUGUAAAGUACUUUUGGCAGGAAAGAAACGUGGAGGGCUAAUACCUCGUGGAACUGACGGUACCUGCAGAAGAAGCACCGGCUAACUACGUG